GUGGGGAAUAUUGCGCAAUGGGGGAAACCCUGACGCAGCAACGCCGCGUGAGUGAUGAAGGCUUUCGAGUCGUAAAACUCUGUCUUUGGGGACGAAUAAUGACGGUACCCAAGGAGGAAGCCCCGGCUAACUACGUGCCAGCAGCCGCGGUAAUACGUAGGGGGCAAGCGUUGUCCGGAAUCACUGGGCGUAAAGAGCGCGUAGGCGGUUUGUUAAGUCAGGUGUGAAAGUUUUCAGCUUAACUGGAAAAGUGCACUUGAAACUAACUUACUUGAGUACUGGAGAGGUAAGCGGAAUUCCUAGUGUAGCGGUGAAAUGCGUAGAUAUUAGGAAGAACACCGGUGGCGAAGGCGGCUUACUGGACAGAGACUGACGCUGAGGCGCGAAAGCGUGGGGAGCGAACAGGAUUAGAAACCCUUGUAGUCC
rnacentral:rRNA from 1 species